rnacentral:rRNA from 1 species
UACGUAGGGUGCAAGCGUUGUCCGGAAUUAUUGGGCGUAAAGAGCUCGUAGGCGGUCUGUCGCGUCUGCUGUGAAAACUCGGGGCUUAACCCCGGGCCUGCAGUGGGUACGGGCAGACUAGAGUGCGGUAGGGGAGACUGGAAUUCCUGGUGUAGCGGUGAAAUGCGCAGAUAUCAGGAGGAACACCGGUGGCGAAGGCGGGUCUCUGGACAACACCUGACGCUGAGGCACGAAAGCCAGGGGAGCAAACAGG